rnacentral:tRNA from 1 species
GGCCCGUUCGUUUAAUGGCUAGGACGUCGCCCUCUCACGGCGAAAAUAGGGGUUCGAUUCCCCUACGGGCUACCA